rnacentral:rRNA from 1 species
AUUGAACGCUGGCGGCAGGCUUAACACAUGCAAGUCGAGCGAGCGGCGGACGGGUGAGUAAUGUCUGGGAAACUGCCUGAUGGAGGGGGAUAACUACUGGAAACGGUAGCUAAUACCGCAUACCAUCAGAUGUGCCCAGGUGGGAUUAGCUAGUAGGUGGGGUAAUGGCUCACCUAGGCGACGAUCCCUAGAUGGUCUGAGAGGAUGACCAGCCACACUAGAACUGAGACACGGUCCAGACGCCUACGGGAGGGAGCAGGGGGGAAGAUGGCACAAGGGGCGCAAGCCUGAUGCAGCCAUGCCGCGGGUGUGAAGAAGGCCGUCGGGUUGGAAAGCACUUUCAGCGAGGAGGCGUUACUCGCAGAAGAAGCACCGGCUAAAUCCGUGCCAGCAGCGGCGGUAAUUC